rnacentral:rRNA from 1 species
AGGUAAUGGCUCACCAAGGCGACGACGGGUAGCCGGCCUGAGAGGGUGACCGGCCACACUGGGACUGAGACACGGCCCAGACUCCUACGGGAGGCAGCAGUGGGGAAUAUUGCACAAUGGGCGCAAGCCUGAUGCAGCGACGCCGCGUGAGGGAUGACGGCCUUCGGGUUGUAAACCUCUUUCAGUAGGGAAGAAGCGAAAGUGACGGUACCUGCAGAAGAAGCGCCGGCUAACUACGUGCCAGCAGCCGCGGUAAUACGUAGGGCGCAAGCGUUAUCCGGAAUUAUUGGGCGUAAAGAGCUCGUAGGCGGUUUGUCGCGUCUGCCGUGAAAGUCCGGGGCUCAACUCCGGAUCUGCGGUGGGUACGGGCAGACUAGAGUGAUGUAGGGGAGACUGGAAUUCCUGGUGUAGCGGUGAAAUGCGCAGAUAUCAGGAGGAACACCGAUGGCGAAGGCAGGUCUCUGGGCAUUAACUGACGCUGAGGAGCGAAAGCAUGGGGAGCGAACAGGAUUAGAUACCCUGGUAGUCCAUGCCGUAAACGUUGGGCACUAGGUGUGGGGGACAUUCCACGUUUUCCGCGCCGUAGCUAACGCAUUAAGUGCCCCGCCUGGGGAGUACGGCCGCAAGGCUAAAACUCAAAGGAAUUGACGGGGGCCCGCCCAAGCGGCGGAGCAUGCGGAUUAAUUCGAUGCACCGGAAGAACCUUACCAAGGCUUGACAUGGGCCGGAUCGCCGCAGAAAUGUGGUUUCCCCUUUGGGGCCGGUUCACAGGUGGUGCAUGGUUGUCGUCAGCUCGUGUCGUGAGAUGUUGGGUUAAGUCCCGCAACGAGCGCAACCCUCGUUCUAUGUUGCCAGCGCGUUAUGGCGGGGACUCAUAGGAGACUGCCGGGGUCAACUCGGAGGAAGGUGGGGACGACGUCAAAUCAUCAUGCCCCUUAUGUCUUGGGCUUCACGCAUGCUACAAUGGCCGGUACAAAGGGUUGCGAUACUGUGAGGUGGAGCUAAUCCCAAAAAGCCGGUCUCAGUUCGGAUUGGGGUCUGCAACUCGACCCCAUGAAGUCGGAGUCGCUAGUAAUCGCAGAUCAGCAACGCUGCGGUGAAUACGUUCCCGGGCCUUGUACACACCGCCCGUCAAGUCACGAAAGUUGGUAACAC